UCAGAUUGAACGCUGGCGGCAGGCUUAACACAUGCAAGUCGAGCGGGGGAAGGUAGCUUGCUACUGGACCUAGCGGCGGACGGGUGAGUAAUGCUUAGGAAUCUGCCUAUUAGUGGGGGACAACAUCUCGAAAGGGAUGCUAAUACCGCAUACGUCCUACGGGAGAAAGCAGGGGAUCUUCGGACCUUGCGCUAAUAGAUGAGCCUAAGUCGGAUUAGCUAGUUGGUGGGGUAAAGGCCUACCAAGGCGACGAUCUGUAGCGGGUCUGAGAGGAUGAUCCGCCACACUGGGACUGAGACACGGCCCAGACUCCUACGGGAGGCAGCAGUGGGGAAUAUUGGACAAUGGGGGGAACCCUGAUCCAGCCAUGCCGCGUGUGUGAAGAAGGCCUUAUGGUUGUAAAGCACUUUAAGCGAGGAGGAGGCUACUUUAGUUAAUACCUAGAGAUAGUGGACGUACUCGCAGAAUAAGCACCGGC
rnacentral:rRNA from 1 species